rnacentral:rRNA from 1 species
AACGUACGCGCGAGUUUUCGAGUUGUCGAAACUCUAUAUAUCGUUGUGUCGAGAAGAAGCGAAAUGAAAGUAAAUUACCUGACGACCGUCAAACGUCGUCUGGCACGAUCCCGUUGCCGCCUUUCGGGGCGGCUCGGGCGCAGUGCCGGCCCGUCCACGUCCGCCUAAUCAGACGGCGGGACGGAUUUUGAGCGCGGGCGUUGGGACCCGAAAGAUGGUGAACUAUGCUUGGACAGGACGAAGCCGGAGGAAACUCUGGUGGAGGUUCGAAGCGAUUCUGACGUGCAAAUCGAUCGUCAGAUCUGAGUAUAGGGGCGAAAGACUAAUCGAACCAUCUAGUAGCUGGUUCCUUCCGAAGUUUCCCUCAGGAUAGCUGGCGCUCGAUCGCAGUUUCAUGCGGUAAAGCGAAUGAUUAGAGGCAUACUGGGGCCGAAACGGCCUCGACCUAUUCUCAAACUUUAAAUGUGUGAGAGGCUCGGCCUUCUCGAAUUGUGAGGCUCGAGCACUGAAUGCGAGCGGCCAAGUGGGCCAUUUUUGGUAAGCAGAACUGGCGAUGCGGGAUGAACCGAAAGGCGAGUUACGGUGCCCGACGCGACGCUUAUGAGACCCCAUGAAAGGCGUUAGUUGCUACAGACAGCAGGACGGUGGCCAUGGAAGUCGGAAUCCGCUAAGGAGUGUGU